rnacentral:rRNA from 1 species
GAUGAACGCUAGCUACAGGCUUAACACAUGCAAGUCGAGGGGUAACGAGAGGGAAGCUUGCUUUCCUUGUCGACGACCGGCGCACGGGUGAGUAACGCGUAUCCAACCUGCCCCCAACUAGGGAAUAACCUUGCGAAAGUAAGACUAAUACCCUAUAAUUUCCUCAGAUGUCAUCUGACGAGGAAUAAAGAUUUAUCGGUUGUGGAUGGGGAUGCGUCUGAUUAGCUUGUUGGCGGGGUAACGGCCCACCAAGGCAACGAUCAGUAGGGGUUCUGAGAGGAAGGUCCCCCACAUUGGAACUGAGACACGGUCCAAACUCCUACGGGAGGCAGCAGUGAGGAAUAUUGGUCAAUGGGCGGAAGCCUGAACCAGCCAAGUAGCGUGCAGGAUGACGGCCCUAUGGGUUGUAAACUGCUUUUAUACAGGAAUAAAGUUAGCCACGUGUGGUUAUUUGUAGGUACUGUAUGAAUAAGGACCGGCUAACUUCGUGCCAGCCGCCGCGGUAA